UACGGUAGGGGGCAAGCGUUGUCCGGAAUCAUUGGGCGUAAAGAGCGUGUAGGCGGCUCGAUAAGUCCGCUGUGAAAGUCCAGGGCUCAACCCUGGAAGGCCGGUGGAAACUGUCGGGCUAGAGUCCGGAAGAGGCGAGUGGAAUUCCCGGUGUAGCGGUGAAAUGCGCAGAUAUCGGGAGGAACACCAAUGGCGAAGGCAGCUCGCUGGGACGGUACUGACGCUGAGACGCGAAAGCGUGGGGAGCAAACAGG
rnacentral:rRNA from 1 species